GACGAACGCUGGCGGCGUGCCUAAUACAUGCAAGUCGAGCGGACAGAUGGGAGCUUGCUCCCUGAUGUUAGCGGCGGACGGGUGAGUAACACGUGGGUAACCUGCCUGUAAGACUGGGAUAACUCCGGGAAACCGGGGCUAAUACCGGAUGGUUGUUUGAACCGCAUGGUUCAAACAUAAAAGGUGGCUUCGGCUACCACUUACAGAUGGACCCGCGGCGCAUUAGCUAGUUGGUGAGGUAACGGCUCACCAAGGCGACGAUGCGUAGCCGACCUGAGAGGGUGAUCGGCCACACUGGGACUGAGACACGGCCCAGACUCCUACGGGAGGCAGCAGUAGGGAAUCUUCCGCAAUGGACGAAAGUCUGACGGAGCAACGCCGCGUGAGUGAUGAAGGUUUUCGGAUCGUAAAGCUCUGUUGUUAGGGAAGAACAAGUACCGUUCGAAUAGGGCGGUACCUUGACGGUACCUAACCAGAAAGCCACGGCUAACUACGUGCCAGCAGCCGCGGUAAUACGUAGGUGGCAAGCGUUGUCCGGAAUUAUUGGGCGUAAAGGGCUCGCAGGCGGUUUCUUAAGUCUGAUGUGAAAGCCCCCGGCUCAACCGGGGAGGGUCAUUGGAAACUGGGGAACUUGAGUGCAGAAGAGGAGAGUGGAAUUCCACGUGUAGCGGUGAAAUGCGUAGAGAUGUGGAGGAACACCAGUGGCGAAGGCGACUCUCUGGUCUGUAACUGACGCUGAGGAGCGAAAGCGUGGG
rnacentral:rRNA from 1 species